GCCGUUGUAGCUCAGUGGUAGAGCAUUUGUCUUGUAUGCACCUCCGUGGCACUCCACGACAGGAUGCCCGCAAAGAAAAGGUCCCUGGUUCGAACCCGGGCUGCGGCA
rfam:Gonium pectorale scaffold00011, whole genome shotgun sequence.